CACGUAGGGCGCAAGCGUUGUCCGGAUUCAUUGGGCGUAAAGAGCUCGUAGGCGGUUUGGUAAGUCGGGUGUGAAAACUCAGGGCUCAACUCUGAGAUGCCACCCGAUACUGCUAUGACUAGAGUCCGGUAGAGGAGUAUGGAAUUCCUGGUGUAGCGGUGAAAUGCGCAGAUAUCAGGAGGAACACCAAUUGCGAAGGCAGUACUCUGGGCCGGAACUGACGCUGAGGAGCGAAAGCGUGGGUAGCGAACAGG
rnacentral:rRNA from 1 species